AUUAAACGCUGGCGGCAGGCCUAACACAUGCAAGUCGAGCGGCAGCGGGAAAGUAGCUUGCUACUUUUGUCGGCGAGCGGCGGACGGGUGAGUAAUGCCUGGGAAAUUGCCCAGUCGAGGGGGAUAACAGCUGGAAACGACUGCUAAUACCGCAUACGCCCUACGGGGGAAAGCAGGGGACCUUCGGGCCUUGCGCGAUUGGAUAUGCCCAGGUGGGAUUAGCUAGUUGGUGAGGUAAUGGCUCACCAAGGCGACGAUCCCUAGCUGGUCUGAGAGGAUGAUCAGCCAAACUGGAACUGAGACACGGUCCAGACUCCUACGGGAGGCAGCAGUGGGGAAUAUUGCACAAUGGGGGAAACCCUGAUGCAGCCAUGCCGCGUGUGUGAAGAAGGCCUUCGGGUUGUAAAGCACUUUCAGCGAGGAGGAAAGGUUGAUGCCUAAUACGUAUCAACUGUGACGUUACUCGCAGAAGAAGCACCGGCUAACUCCGUGCCAGCCGCCGCCGUAACAC
rnacentral:rRNA from 1 species